rnacentral:rRNA from 1 species
CCCUUUAGAUGUUCUGGGCUGCACGCGCGCUACACUGAUACGAUCAACGAGUACACUGAAGACCUCGGCCGAAAGGUUGGGGUAAACUUUUGAAAUCGUAUCGUGCUGGGGAUCGAUAAUUGCAAUUAUUUAUCGUGAACGAGGAAUUCCUAGUAAGCGCAAGUCAACAGCUUGCGCUGAUUACGUCCCUGCCCUUUGUACACACCGCCCGUCGCUCCUACCGAUGUUUGGUCCGGUGAAAUCUUAGGAUUCGUGGCAUACACUCGUCGGCUCUUUCGGGGGAAGAUGAGUUUGCUGUGGAGAAUUUGAGUAAACCUUGCCAAAUAGAGGAAGGAGAAGUCGUAACA